AUUGAACGCUGGCGGCAGGCCUAACACAUGCAAGUCGAACGAGUGGCGGACGGGUGAGUCAUGUCUGGGAAACUGCCCGAUGGGGGGGGAUAACUCCUGGAAACGGUAGCUAAUACCGCAUACCAUCGGGUGUGCCCAGAUGGGAUUGGCUAGUAGGUGGGGUAACGUGUCACCUCGACGACGCUCCCUAGCUGGUCUGAGAGGAUGACCAGCCACACUGGAACUGAGACACGGUCCAGACUCCUACGGGAGGCAGCAGUGGGGAAUAUUGCACAAUGGGCGCAAGCCUGAUGCAGCCAUGCCGCGUGUAUGAAGAAGGCCUUCGGGUUGUAAAGUACUUUCAGCGAGGAGGCGUUACUCGCAGAAGAAGCACCGGCUAACUCCGUGCCAGCAGCCGCGGUAAUAC
rnacentral:rRNA from 1 species